rnacentral:rRNA from 1 species
GACGAACGCUGGCGGCGUGCUUAACACAUGCAAGUCGAGCGGUAAGGCUCCUUCGGGGGUACACGAGCGGCGAACGGGUGAGUAACACGUGAGUAAUCUGCCCUUCACUUUGGGAUAAGCCUCGGAAACGGGGUCUAAUACCGGACAUGACGCGCCUGGGCAUCUGGGUGUGUGGAAAGUUUUUUCGGUGGGGGAUGUGC